rnacentral:rRNA from 1 species
UACGUAGGGGGCAAGCGUUGUCCGGAUUUAUUGGGCGUAAAGGGCGCGUAGGCGGCGUAACAAGUCACUUGUGAAAUCUCCGGGCUUAACUCGGAGCGGUCAAGUGAUACUGUUGUGCUAGAGUGCGGAAGGGGCUACUGGAAUUCUCGGUGUAGAGGUGAAAUUCGUAGAUAUUGGGAAGAACACCGGUGGCGAAGGCGGCUCUCUGGACCGAGACUGACGCUGAGGCGCGAAAGCGUGGGGAGCAAACAGG